GGUCUGGUGGUGUAGUUGGGAGUCACAUUCGAUUGAAGUGUGUAAUAUCUUCUGAUAUUGCAGGUUCUCGAAAGGUCACCGGUUCGAUCCCGGUUCAGACCA